ensembl:lncRNA ZNF37BP zinc finger protein 37B, pseudogene
AGGUUUGUUUUUCUCCGGUACAGCCUGGAUGCCCGGAGGCCUCGGCAGGACCGUGCGGAAACGGGCCUUCUGCCCAAAAGAUGCUGCUUCUCUCCUUAUUCUUUCCCCUCAGAAUCUCGCUGUCUCCUUCCAACCACCUGUGGUCGGCAUCCCCGCGUUGUCACUGCGACGCAGAGGUCGCAGCUUCAUGGCCUGAUGCCUUCAGGAAGUAUUUUGAAGUCAUCGUGGCUGUGGAUUGGGGGAUUUCUUGUUUCCACUGACCUGUGAGGCCGCGCACGUGGAGGGAGGCACCCCGGGUCCUCCGGCACUGUCCGGCCUCGCCUGUGUCCCUAGUAGCAGUGGGCAUUUCCAGACGGUGCAGCUUGUGGCUAAAGUGACAGGAAGAUGUAGGAGCUUUCAGUCUUGGAUGAGGAUUCGAACUGAAGGGCUUAGGCCCAGCUGUCUUGGAGCAAAACAUCUGUUGUGGGACUCCCACAGGCUGGGUGAUGGUGGGAGAUUUGUGCCCAUUCAGAUGUGGCGGCAGAGGAGGGCAAGGCCGAAGGAGCAGACAGCACCGCUUCUUGGGGAGUUGUGAAGGCAUCAUGCGGAGGGCCGAGCUUAGCAGCCAAGUGGAGGACAGCACCCUCCAUGCCUGGAUUCGUUACUCGCUCGUUCUCGAUGUUGAGCUGCUGGCAUAUUGCAGCACAACUAGAGAUGUACGGAUGCCCCCAUCUUGAUCUUACAGAAUCAGAGGUGCAGCCGCAAGAAAGCUACACCCUCUCGGUUUUCUCUGCUCUGCCAACACUAGUGGAAUAUGAUCACAUCCCAGGGAUCAGUGUCAUUUAGGGAUGUGACUAUGGGCUUCACUCAAGAGGAGUGGCAUCAUCUGGACCCUGCUCAGAGGACCCUGUAGAGGAAUGUGAUGCUGGAGAACUACAGCCACCUUGUCUCAGUAGGGUAUUGCAUUCCUAAACCAGAAGUGAUCCUCAAAUUGGAGACAGGCAAGGAGCCAUGGAUAUUAGAGGAAAAAUUUCGAAGCCAGAGUCAUCUGGGUGAGUUAGUGCCAGAUGGAAUUUAAAGAAUUAAUUAAUACCAGUAGAAACUAUUCAAGAAUGAAGUUCAAUGAGUUUAACAAAGGUGGAAAAUGUUUCUGUGAUGAAAGCAUGAAAUAAUUCAUUUUGAAGAGGAACCUUCUGAAUAUAAUAACAAUGGGAACAGCUUCUGGCUGAAUGAAGACCUCAUUUGGCAUCAGAAGAUUAAAAAUUGGGAGCAACCUUUUGAAUACAAUGAAUGUGGGAAAGCUUUCCCUGAGAAUUCACUCUUCCUUGUACAUAAGAGAGCUUACACAGGACAGAAAACAUGCAAAUAUACUGAACAUGGGAAAACCUGUUAUAUGUCAUUUUUUAUUACUCAUCAGCAAACACAUCCAAGAGAGAACCACUAUGAAUGUAAUGAAUGUGGAGAAAGUAUCUUUGAGGAAUCCAUUCUCUUUGAACAUCAGAAUGUUUACCCAUUCAGCCAGAAUUUAAAUCCCACUCUAAUUCAGAGAACCCACUCAAUUAGCAAUAUUAUUGAAUAUAAUGAAUGUGGAACCUUUUUCAGUGAAAAAUUAGCCCUUCAUUUACAACAGAGAACACAUCCAGGGGAAAAACCUUAUGAAUGUCAUGAAUGUGGAAAAACCUUCACCCAGAAGUCAGCCCACACAAGACAUCAGAGAACACACACAGGGAAAACCCUAUGAAUGUCACGGAUGUGGGAAGACCUUCUAUAAGAAUUCAGACCUCAUUAGAAAUCAAAGAAUUCACACAGGGGAGAGACCUUACAGAUGUCAUGAAUGGAGAAAUCCUUCAGUGAAAAGUCAUCCCUUACUCAAAAUCAGAGAACACACGUGGGGAGAAAUCAUGAAUGUCAUGAAUGUGGGAAAACCUCGUUUAAGUCAGUUCUAACUGUGCAUCAGAAAACACACAGGGGAGAAGCCCUAUGAAUGCUAUGCAUGUGGCAACACCUUUCUCAGAAAAUCCGACCUCAUUAAACAUCAGAGAAUUCACACAGGAGAAAAACCUUAUGAAUGUAAUGAAUGUGGGAAGUCAUUCUCCGAGAAGUCAACCCUUACUAAACAUCUAAGAACACACAGAUGGGAAAUCUUAUGCAUGUAUUCAAUGUGGAAAAUUUUUCUGCUGCUACUACAGUUUCACAGAACAUCUGAGAAGACACACAGGGGAGAAACCUUUUGGAUGUAAUGAAUGUGGGAAAACCUUCCAUCAGAAGUUGGCCCUAAUUGUUCACCAGAGAACUCAUAUAAGACAGAAACCCUAUGGAUGUAAUGAAUGUGGAAAAUCA